AACGAACGCUGGCGGCAGGCUUAACACAUGCAAGUCGAACGCGUGCAGCAAUGCACGCGUGGCGCACGGGUGAGUAACGAGUGGAUAUCUGCUUUGGUUCGGAAUAACCCCGGGAAACUGGGGCUAAUACCGGAUGGUUCCUACGGGAUAAAGAUUUAUCGCCAAAAGAUGAGUCCGCGUCCGAUUAGCUAGUUGGUGAGGUAAUGGCUCACCAAGGCGACGAUCGGUAGCUGGUCUGAGAGGACGAUCAGCCACACUGGGACUGAGACACGGCCCAGACUCCUACGGGAGGCAGCAGUGGGGAAUAUUGGACAAUGGGGGCAACCCUGAUCCAGCCAUGCCGCGUGAGUGAUGAAGGCCUUCGGGUUGUAAAGCUCUUUUGGCGGGGACGAUGAUGACGGUACCCGCAGAAUAAGCCCCGGCUAACUUCGUG
rnacentral:rRNA from 1 species